UACAGAGGGUGCUAGCGUUGUUCGGAAUCAUUGGGCGUAAAGGGCGUGUAGGCGGUUUGUUAAGUCAUGUGUGAAAUCCCUCGGCUCAACCGGGGAACGACGCAUGAAACUGGCAAGCUAGAGUACCAAAGAGGGGGGUGGAAUUCCCGGUGUAGCGGUGAAAUGCGUAGAUAUCAGGAGGAACACCGGUGGCGAAGGCGGAUCUCUGGGCCUUACCUGACGCUGAGGAGCGAAAGCAUGGGGAGCAAACAGG
rnacentral:rRNA from 1 species